rnacentral:rRNA from 1 species
GAUGAACGCUGGCGGCGUGCCUAAUACAUGCAAGUCGAGCGAAUGGAUUAAGAGCUUGCUCUUAUGAAGUUAGCGGCGGACGGGUGAGUAACACGUGGGUAACAUGCCCAUAAGACUGGGAUAACUCCGGGAAACCGGGGCUAAUACCGGAUAACAUUUUGAACCGCAUGGUUCGAAAUUGAAAGGCGGCUUCGGCUGUCACUUAUGGAUGGACCCGCGUCGCAUUAGCUAGUUGGUGAGGCAACGGCUCACCAAGGCAACGAAGCGUAACCCGCCCGCGAGGGUGAUCGCGCACACUGGGACUGAAACACGCCCCAGACUCCGGCGGGAGGCAGUAGUAGGGAAUCUUCCGCAAUGGACGAAAGUCUGCCGGAGCAACGCCGCGGGAGUGAUGAAGGCUUUCGGGUCGUAAAACUCGGUUGUUAGGGAAGAACAAGUGCUAGUUGAAUAAGCUGGCACCUUUACGGUACCUAACCAGAAAGCCACGGCUAACUACGUGCCAGCCGCCGCUGUAA